rnacentral:rRNA from 1 species
GAUGAACGCUGGCGGCGUGCCUAACACAUGCAAGUCGAGCGAAGCAAUCGAGAUGAAGUUUUCGGAUGGAUUCCUGAUUGACUGAGCGGCGGACGGGUGAGUAACGCGUGGGUAACCUGCCUCAUACAGGGGAUAACAGUUAGAAAUGACUGCUAAUACCGCAUAAGCGCACGGAACCGCAUGGUUUUUGUGUGAAAAACCUCCGGUGGUGUGAGAUGGACCCGCGUUGGAUUAGCCAGUUGGCAGGUACGGCCUACCAAGCGACGAUCCAUAGCCGGCCUGAGAGGGUGAACGGCCACAUUGGGACUGAGACACGGCCCAGACUCCUACGGGA